GACGGUUUGGCCGAGUGGUUUAAGGCGCCAGAUUUAGGCUCUGGUCCGAAAGGGCGUGGGUUCAUAUCCCACAACCGUUA
rnacentral:tRNA from 1 species